AUUGAACGCUGGCGGCAGGCUUAACACAUGCAAGUCGAACGAGUGGCGGACGGGUGAGUAAUGCUUGGGAAUCUGGCUUAUGGAGGGGGAUAACGACGGGAAACUGUCGCUAAUACCGCGUACCAUAGGAUGAGCCCAAGUGGGAUUAGGUAGUUGGUGGGGUAAUGGCCUACCUAGGCGACGAUCUCUAGCUGGUCUGAGAGGAUGACCAGCCACACCGGAACUGAGACACGGCCCAGACUCCUACGGGAGGCAGCAGUGGGGAAUAUUGCGCAAUGGGGGCAAGCCUGACGCAGCCAUGCCGCGUGUAUGAAGAAGGCCUUCGGGUUGUAAAGUUCUUUCGGUGACGAGGCGUUAAUCGCAGAAGAAGCACCGGCUAACUCCGUGCCAGCAGCCGCGGUAAUAC
rnacentral:rRNA from 1 species